GUUUGAGUGGAGUAGUAGUUUAACUCGCUGCCCUCCCAAACUCAUGUCUGGAGUUGAGGCAGAGACUCGGGUGCGAAUCCCGGCUCAAGCA